AAUUCUCAAACUCUGAUUGAUUUGUUUCAAUCGAGCUUUGGAUUUGGAGCGUGCCGGCGUCAGUCGGCUCCUCUUGAAUGCAUCAGCGGAAUCCCAUUCAUUUCGGACGUCAGUGUGAUAAUCAUGUUGCGCUGUCUCUGCGAUCUUGAAAGCCCGCUCACAAUGGUCUUCGGACAAACCUCACUAUCAU
rnacentral:misc_RNA from 1 species